rnacentral:rRNA from 1 species
ACGGUUAGCAAUAACUGGUGGCGACCGGCGCACGGGUGCGUAACACGUAUACAAUCUACCUUAAACAAGGGGGAUAGCCUUUCGAAAGAGAGAUUAAUACCCCGUAAUAAAUUGAACGGCAUCGUUUGAUUUGAAAGCUCCGGCGGUUUGAGAUGAGUAUGCGUCUGAUUAGCUAGUUGGUGAGGUAACGGCUCACCAAGGCGACGAUCAGUAGGGGACCUGAGAGGACUAACCCCCACACUGGUACUGAGACACGGACCAGACUCCUACGGGAGGCAGCAGUAAGGAAUAUUGGUCAAUGGAGGCAACUCUGAACCAGCCAUGCCGCGUGCAGGAUGACGGCCCUAUGGGUUGUAAACUGCUUUUAUACAAGAGAAAACCCUGGUACGUGUACCAAGUUGAUAGUAUUGUAAGAAUAAGCAUCGGCUAACUUCGUG